UUGAUCCUGGUCAGUCACGCUCCCAAGUGGUGAUACUCCGCAGGUGGAUUUUGGGGGUGUGACAUUGUCAUAUGUUGAGAAGAACUUUGUCGAUUGUACCACAUACGACCAGAUUGUUUGAGACCAUAUAAAGAUCUCUGGAGCUUUAUAGAACACAUAUCUCGAGGUGUUGAUUUUAAUGCUUCAGGCAAUUUUAAUCCUUUAGGGAUUUUCAUGUAGAUGUCAUUUUCAAGUGUCCCGUAUAAGUAUGCGGUGACGACAUCCAUUAGUCUCAUAUGAAGUCCUUUAGAGAUUGUGAGGCCGAUUAGGAACCUAAGGGUUAUCGCAUCCACUACAGGGGAAUACGUUUCCUCA
rnacentral:lncRNA from 1 species